rnacentral:rRNA from 1 species
AAUGAACGCUGGCGGCGCGCCUAAUACAUGCAAGUCGAGCGAGAAGACGUAGCAAUACGCUUGUAAAGCGGCGAACGGGUGAGGAAUACAUGGGUAACCUACCCUAGAGUGGGGAAUAACUAGCCGAAAGGUUAGCUAAUACCGCGUACGCUCCUUGGACUUCGGUUCAGGGAGGAAAGCGAUGCCGAGGGUAUCGCGCUCUUGGAUGGGCUCAUGUCCUAUCAGCUGUUGGUGAGGUAACGGCUCACCAAGGCUUCGACGGGUAGCUGGUCUGAGAGGACGAUCAGCCACACUGGCACUGCGACACGGGCCAGACUCCUACGGGAGGCAGCAGUAAGGAAUAUUGCGCAAUGGGCGAAAGCCUGACGCAGCGACGCCGCGUGGGGGAUGAAGGUCUUCGGAUUGUAAACCCCCUUUCGGGAGGGAAGA